ensembl:lncRNA
ACGCAAAUCGUCCGAGCCAGCGCCGUUGUACCAGAUGGCCGCCAGUCCUGUGCUGCUGCACAAAAUGGCCGCCAACCCAGCGCCGCUGCGCGGCAUGGGUGCCAGCUCAGCGCCACAGCACAAGAUGGCUGCCAGCUUAGAGCCACAGCACAAGAUGGCCGCCAGCCCAGCGCCACAGCACAAGAUGGCCGCCAACCCAGCACAACGAGGCAAGAUGGCAGCCAGCACAGCGCCAAAGCACAGAGUGCCCACCAUUCCAGCGCCACAGCACAAGAUGGCCGCCAGUUCAGAGCCACAGCACAAGAUGGCCGCCAGCCCAGCGCCACAGCACAAGAUGGCCGACUCAACGCCUGAGUCUCCAGACAAGGUGCUACCAACUCGCCAUCAUGGAGGCUGGAGGAGGAGGAGACAGGCGUCUACCGCUCCUCAAAGCCCGGAGGACGUUCUCGAGUGGGCCGCUUCCGUCCAGGAAGAAGUUCCCGAGCGGGCCACUGCUGUCCAUGAGGACGUUCCCGAGCAGGCAGCUGCCAUCCAGGAGGACAUUCCCGAGGCCGUUCCAGAGGCCAAAGCGAUGCCCGAGGCCGUUCCCGAUGCGGUGCCCGAUGCUGGUCCCGAUGCUGUUUUGGAGGCCGAGGAGGUGCCCGAGACAGUUCCUGAGGUGAUGCCCGACGCUGUUCUGGAGGCUGAGGUGGUGCCCGAUGCUGUUCCGGAGGCCGAGGUGGUGCCGAUGCUGUUCCGGAGGCCGAGGCGGUGCCCGAUGCUGUUCGGGAGGCCGAGGCGGUGCCCGAUGCUGUUCUGGAGGCCGAGGCGGUGCCCGAUGCUGUUCUGGAGGCCGAGGCGGUGCCCGAUGCUGUUCCGGAGGCCGAGGUGGUGCCCGAUGCCGAGGCAGUGUUCGAGGCUGUUCCGGAGGCCGAGGCGGUGCCCGAUGCUGUUCCGGAAGCCGAAGUGGUGCCCGAUGACGAGGCGGUGCCCGAUGCUGUUCCGGAGGCCGAGGCGGUGCCCGAGGCCGUUCCGGAGUCAAGUCAGAUUCCUGUUGACCUUCCCAAGUCAAGUCAGGUGCCCAUUGACUUCCCAGAGUUAAAUCAGUUCCCGGUUGACCCUCUAGAGUCGAGUCAGGUGUUCAUGGACCCUCCAGAGUCAGGGUUAGUCACCGCCAACCUUCCAGAGUCAGAGUUAGUUACCGUUGACCCUCUAGAGUCAGGGCUAGUUCCGGUUGACCAUCCAGAGUUGAGUCAUGUUCCAGUUGUUCCUCCUGAAUCAAGUCAGAUUCCUGUUGACCUUCCCGAGUCAAGUCAGGUGCCCGUUGACUUUCCAGAGUUGAGUCAGUUUCCGGUUGACCCUCCAGAGUCGAGUCAGAUGGUCAUGGACCCUCCAGAGUCAGGGUUAGUCACCAUCGACCUUCCAGAGUCAGGGUUAGUCACCAUCGACCUUCCAGAGUCAGGGUUAGUUACCGUUGACCUUCCAGAGUCAGGGCUAGUUCCUGUUGACCUUCCAGAGUCGAGUCAGGUUCUGGUGAACUCUCCAGAGUCGAGUCAGGUUCCGGUGAACUCUCCAGAGCCGAGUCAGG